GACGUAGGGUGCGAGCGUUGUCCGGAUUUAUUGGGCGUAAGGGGCUCGUGGGCGGUUUGUCGCGUGGACCGGGAAAACUUGGGGCUCAACCCCAAGCCUGCGGUCGAUACGGGCAGGCUAGAGUUCGGUAGGGGAGACUGGAAUUCCUGGUGUAGCGGUGAAAUGCGCAGAUAUCAGGAGGAACACCGGUGGCGAAGGCGGGUCUCUGGGCCGAUACUGACGCUGAGGAGCGAAAGCGUGGGGAGCGAACAGG
rnacentral:rRNA from 1 species